AUAAGAAUAUGGCUCAGUGGUAGAGCACUUGCCCAGCAUGUGUGAGGCCCUAGGUUUAAUCCCCAGUUCUAAUG
rnacentral:tRNA from 1 species